rnacentral:rRNA from 1 species
UACGUAGGGUGCAAGCGUUGUCCGGAAUUAUUGGGCGUAAAGAGCUUGUAGGCGGUUUGUCGCGUCUGCUGUGAAAUUUCGGGGCUCAACCCGGAACUUGCAGUGGGUACGGGCAGACUAGAGUGUGGUAGGGGAGACUGGAAUUCCUGGUGUAGCGGUGAAAUGCGCAGAUAUCAGGAGGAACACCGAUGGCGAAGGCAGGUCUCUGGGCCAUAACUGACGCUGAGAAGCGAAAGCAUGGGGAGCGAACAGG